UACGUAGGUGGCGAGCGUUGUCCGGAAUUACUGGGCGUAAAGGGCGCGUAGGCGGCCUGUUAAGUCAGAUGUGAAACCCCCAGGCUCAACUUGGGGAUUGCAUAUGAAACUGAUGGGCUCGAGUGUCGGAGAGGAAAGCGGAAUUCCUAGUGUAGCGGUGAAAUGCGUAGAUAUUAGGAGGAACACCAGUGGCGAAGGCGGCUUUCUGGACGAUAACUGACGCUGAGGCGCGAAAGCGUGGGGAGCAAAC
rnacentral:rRNA from 1 species